GAUGAACGCUGGCGGCGUGCCUAAUACAUGCAAGUCGAGCGAACAGACGAGGCUCUUGCUCCUUUGACGUUAGGGGCGGACGGGUGAGUAACGCGUGGGUAACCUACCUAUAAGACUGGGAUAACUUCGGGAAACGGGAGCUAAUACCGGAUAAUCUUUCGAACCGCAUGGUUCGUUAGUGAAAGAUGGCUUUGCGGUCACUUAUAGAUGCACCUGCGCCGUUUUAGUUGGUUGGGAGGGUAACGGCUUACCAAGGCAAUGAUAGCUAGCCGACGUGAGGGGGGGUACGCGACAAUGGGACUGGGACCAGGCCCAGGCUCCUAAGGGAGGGCGCAGUGGGGAAUCGUGCGCAAUGGGGGGAAAGGUGACGCAACAACGGCGCGUGGGGGGAGGAAGCCUUGCGGGUGUAAAACCCUUUUAGGAGGGACAAAGCUUAGGCGGUGGAAAGGCGGCAGGACUGACGGCAACUUCACAAGAAGCCCCGGCUAACUACGUG
rnacentral:rRNA from 1 species